rnacentral:rRNA from 1 species
AACGAACGCUGGCGGCAGGCUUAACACAUGCAAGUCGAGCGCCCCGCAAGGGGAGCGGCAGACGGGUGAGUAACGCGUGGGAAUCUACCCAUCUCUACGGAAUAACGCAUGGAAACGUGUGCUAAUACCGUAUACGUCCUUCGGGAGAAAGAUUUAUCGGAGAUGGAUGAGCCCGCGUUGGAUUAGCCAGUUGGGGGGGUAAAGGCCUACCAAGGCGACGAUCCAUAGCUGGUCUGAGAGGAUGAUCAGCCACACUGGGACUGGGACACGGCCCAGACUCCUACGGGAGGCAGCAGUGGGGAAUAUUGGACAAUGGGCGCAAGCCUGAUCCAGCCAUGCCGCGUGAGUGAUGAAGGCCCUAGGGUUGUAAAGCUCUUUCACCGGUGAAGAUAAUGACGGUAACCGGAGAAGAAGCCCCGGCUAACUUCGUGCCAGCAGCCGCCGUAAAAC